AAUCUCAACACAGCAGUGUCCCUGGAAGUCCCACUCUAAGCCCCACCCAAAGUGCAGGGCACAGACAGGGAUGCUUCAGGGAUGACCCCCUCCAAGCGCUGCAUGGUGCCUCCUUAAGGCUGGCUAUGUCCCAUGGUCCUUCUCAGCCCAGGCCACUCUAUGAUUCUGUGAUCACAAGACUGGCUUGGAUUCACCCUAAAACUCCCCAGCACAGAGCACAUAAGAACUGCUGUGGCACUGUGGAAUGAAGAUAACAUGCCUGAAGGUGAAUGUGAAGAAUGGAGAUGUUAUGUCAGAAGUUGAUUCCAAACAACAAAUCCGCUUAUAAGUUAUAAAGGAACUGGUACAGAUUUCAGAAGACUGUCAGUGGUGCCUUUAAAUCAGGAGGGAUCAACGUCCAGAAAGACAAACUCAACCCAACUCAAACACUAAGAAGUUUUAUAAGAAAUACUACAGAUGCCUGCCUGAAGAGUAUUAACACACAGUUCAGUGACUAUCCUCUCAUGUUCACUGUUCAAAAUGCUGUAUUUUUUUUAACAUCUAAUAAACAUAGAGCUGUACCACG
rnacentral:lncRNA from 1 species